rnacentral:lncRNA from 1 species
UCGCAGAAAUGUGAAGAAAUCAAUUAAAUCCAGCGCUGGUUUAAUUUGUUGCUUUGCGCCUCUGCGCAGUGGAUGGUCUGCGUGAUAGGACUCCAUCAGAGGUCAAACCCGCCUGUGCUAUUUGUGGAAAAGACGAAGGAAUAAUCCAUGGAGGAGCUUCUUAUCUAGCAGGGGGAAAAAAGCCGUGCAUCUCCUGCUGCUGAGCUGCCUGCACAUCUCUGUUCAGCUGCAGUGCCCUGAAGGAGGAAGGAAGGAGCACGAAAUCCCUGGGUCAGUGCAAAAAUUCCUCCCAGGAGAAUCAAGGCUGGGCCGUGCUGACACGCCGAUGCUCCUGGCUGUGCUGGAGUGCUGCAUCUCCACGAGGAGAAGACAUCUCCAAGGUAAGGCAGGCUUAUUGCUGAUUACAAGAUUACACGCGUCUGGAGGGCGCAAAUCUGUUCUCCAAACUUUCAAGGUGGUUUGUGCUGUGUCUGUGAGGUGCAAGAUUGCUCGCACAGUGAGUUUUUUGGAGCGCGGUUUUAUCUGACUGGCAUUAGGUAACCCUGCUUAAUCCAGAACUGGAAGCUUCAGAAAGUGAUUUUGCAAACCCAGAGACAUUUCAAGCUUAUGAGGCUUUUGACCUGCCUCAUUUAUGCUCGCCUCUUGCAUUGCGAAGGCUUAGAAAUGUGAAUAAUGUGAAAUACAGUGUGAAAUCUUUUGAGAUAUCUAAACCAUGUGCAUACACGUAGGAGCUUCCACCUUCCUUAAAACUUCAUCUCUCCUUCCUCAGCCCUGUGGCUGAUUAGUUUGUACUGCGGCAGAUAGGGGAGAAGGGAUAGGAGCUGGUGAGGGAUGUGGACUUGUGCUCCCCGCCUCGUUUCCCCUCCCUGUGGCAUCCUGUCCUGCUUUCUUUCCUCUUUGUGCUCCACCAGGAUCCGUGCACAAUGUCCUCAUUAAAUCCUGGCUCGGAGGUGGCGGUGGUGGGGAUGGUGGAAUGACCUCCAGCAGGCCGGGGGCCGCGUGGUUCUGAAGCGUAUGCAUUUUUUUGAUCCUUUCUUUUUCCUGUCCUAUUUUGCAAAGCUCAGAGCUGUCAGAAAACGUCCAUUAGGUUGAAAAUGUGCUAUUCCUUCCUAAAAGUAGACUCCCAGAGUCUACCUGCUCUUCAUAUGUGGUUGUGCACUCUUCCUGCUAUUCUUCCUAGACAACCCUUUGCUGCUGCAAGGUUGGAGCCUGUUGGCCAUGCUCAGUCUCCCUCCUGCUCUUUCUCCUGUGCUGCACAGUAAUUUCUAAUUUCAUGUGGCUUUUGCUCUUCUCAAAGAAAGAAGAAAGCCGAGCGUAUGCCAGGCACUGUUUGAGGCUUGCGGAGUGCUGGGUGGGCUGUGUGUCAUCUUUCCAAGGAUAUUGGUGCAAAAAAAAAAACACAACACACAACCACACGAAUCCUCAAAGCUUUUGAAAGUUGCAGGUGAUCAAAAAGAGUGUCCCUGGGGUUGCUGGCUGGUAGCAGCUGGGUGCUCUGGUCUGGUGCUGCUGUCCCACAGUGAGAUCUGGGGGCUGCAGGAGCCCCUUCCUGAUGCUGCUGCAGCUGAAAUGUGAGAAAGGAAGAGAGAAACAGCAAGGAAAGGCACAAGGAGGGGAAUGAAACAGAGGGGAUGGGCAAGGCAGCUUGAGCAAUCUUAAUGAUCCCAGGCUUUUCCAAUCAUUCAGCACUGCUGUGUAUUUGCCACCUAAUUUCUUCCCAAACUGAAAAUAAAGCGCUGUUUAAUAAACA